AGUGAGUACGAAAAUGCGGCUUAGAGUCGAAUGACGUUCCUAGAUGGAUGCUGUCUUUACUUGAUGUAAAAGGACUCGUUUUAAUCGUUGGACGUCAGUGAUUAACGGAUUAACGGAUUAAUCAGUGAUUAACGGAUUUGAUGGCGAGCAGAAAUAAAGCUUGAAUGGAAGCCUUCCUUGAACUGCUUUGUGACACACUGCUACUUUAUUCUAUGGAUUUCGGAAGGAGUGAAAGCAAAGUCGACUUUGUCUGGAUUUGAACUCUGACCAUUUUUCGCUGCUUAAUGCUUCUGCCAAUUAACCAAAUUAAUUAAUUAAACACGUUAAUUCAUACGUGAUUGUUAAUUAGCCAUCGUCAUCCUUUUUCAUGUUGAUGUGAAAAUCUAAGUGAGGGUUUCUUGUAAAAUAUACAAGUGAUGUUGAAGCUGAAAAUGUCCAUUCUGAUUUGUGAUUCCUUGAAUCUAUUGUGACAUCUUCGUCAUUGGAUCUCUAUUAAAUAUAAAUAUCAGAUGACAUUGGCAUGAAAGAAUCUGAGUAGAUGGGAUCUUCAAAUAUCAACAAAAAUUACAUUCGUUGAAAGUAUAGCAAAAGAGAAUAUUUGUUGGGAAUAAAAAUAUAAGAAUUAAAAGAAGGAAAACAUCUCUGUCUGUUGUGGUGAGAGAUGAAAAAUGAUGGAAGACAAACUAUGUAAGAACAAAGUUACAUGUAAGACACAGUCUACAAGUAUGGGCUUCCCUGCUGGUGUAAA